UACGUAGGGGGCAAGCGUUGUCCGGAAUUAUUGGGCGUAAAGAGCGUGUAGGCGGUCCGGUAAGUCAGCUGUGAAAGUCAAGGGCUCAACCCUUGAAAGCCGGUUGAUACUGUCGGGCUAGAGUCCGGAAGAGGCGAGUGGAAUUCCCGGUGUAGCGGUGAAAUGCGCAGAUAUCAGGAGGAACACCGGUGGCGAAGGCGGGUCUCUGGGCCGUAACUGACGCUGAGACGCGAAAGCGUGGGGAGCGAACCGG
rnacentral:rRNA from 1 species